rnacentral:rRNA from 1 species
GACGAACGCUGGCGGCGUGCCUAAUACAUGCAAGUAGAACGCUGAAGGAGGAGCUUGCUUCUCUGGAUGAGUUGCGAACGGGUGAGUAACGCGUAGGUAACCUGCCUGUUAGCGGGGGAUAACUAUUGGAAACGAUAGCUAAUACCGCAUAAGAGUAGAUGUUGCAUGACAUUUGCUUAAAAGGUGCAAUUGCAUCACUACCAGAUGGACCUGCGUUGUAUUAGCUAGUUGGUGGGGUAACGGCGCACCAAGGCGACGAUACAUAGCCGACCUGAGAGGGUGAUCGGCCACACUGGGACUGAGACACGGCCCAGACUCCUACGGGAGGCAGCAGUAGGGAAUCUUCGGCAAUGGACGGAAGCCUGACCGAGCAACGCCGCGUGAGUGAAGAAGGUCUUCGGAUCGUAAAGCUCUGUUGUAAGGGAAGAACGAGUGUGAGAGUGGAAAGUGCCCACUGUGACGGUAUCAUACAAGAAAGGGACGGCAAACUCCGU